CCUCUUGGGAUGCUUACCAAGCACAUCUGUGCACAUCAUGAGAUGCAAUAAAAAUUGCAAUGACAAUGCUAGACAAACACCCACACACCCACUGCACAAGACGCUGGGCAGAUCCAGUGCCAUCCUGCUUGGAAGCAGAUACUACGUAACUGGGCUCUGUGCUGCCAUUGUUUUUCAGAUUAUGAGACAAAGAGGAAAUAAAAAUGAGAAUCUCUGAAAUACUCAGGCUACUCUCUUCACUUUAGGGAGGAGAGGGUAGCCAAUACAAAUUUCUCAUCAAGCACCUUCAUAAAACUUAAUCCCGAAGUUUUUCUUUGACAAAACGCACAGGUUGGAUAGCUAUUCUCUCCCCAUUGGUUUUUGAGGUAUGGGCCCAUGUAAACAUGACAAGUAGCCCCCAAUAAGCCAACAUUCAACAGCAGUUCCUCAAAUCUUGCUGCCAGCAGCGUUAGAGUGAUCCAUAUAAUUACAAAUUAGAUCCAUUUACUGGGGUCUGGUUGCCUAUGCAAGAGCUUGCCUUCCAUAUAUAAACAUAAUUGUGAUAAAUCUGGACUCAACAGCCAUGGGGCAUUCUGAAGAUGAUAUCUAGAGGUUGCCAUGACAACUCCCUAGAAUUCCUGCUGUCUUUUCAUGGUAGAGUUCCUAGCUAAAGCCUGGAAGGUAUCUGAAAUAAAUCAUCAAAAGGUGGGACAGCUGGAAUUGGUCCAUGGAAGAAAUCCAAGUAUGCGGUUCAUAAGUCCUGUGGAGCUCUGUGGACCCAGUCAUACAGCAGAAGAUAUUGUCAACUCUAUAAGUGGCAUCUAAACUUCAUGUGAAACUGUCUUCAUAGCAGAGACCACUUUUGGGCCGGGAAGCACCCCUGUUACCAGUGGUGAGGGCUUCCAAGAAACUUCCCUUCCUCUUGGUGUACCUGGGAGCUCUCUGCCUGACUCAUCCUCUCACCAGUAUGCUGGGGCCACCUAGAGCAAGGGCAACAACCUCUUGCUGUCCCCUGUGUGUCUUUACAGGCCAAAGGAUUUUCUUCCUGUUAACAUGCUUCUCGAGGGCAAGGAGAAGUUCUGAGGAGGAGUUCCAGUCCCCAGCCCUUGCCGUGAAAAAUUACAUACAUUUUUCUCCACUGAUUUAUUUAUCUCUGAUGAUUUAUUGGGAUUAUUUUGGCCUCUGUCAUAAUCUUUUUAGAAAACAAAUGCCCAAGAUUCAAAAAUAUCAAAAAGAGCAAAAAGGAUAUUUAAUGAAAAGGACCCUGGCCCCAGUUCCCUUGCCCAGAAACAAGUAAGAUUACCAAUUGUUUAUCCUUCCAG
rnacentral:lncRNA from 1 species